CGGUUAUGCAAGUGAAAAGCUUUAUUUUAGGUAAAAAGACAGUUAGGUUUAAUAAUAUAUUUGUUUAUUGAAUAUCUAUAAAAAAGUAAAAUUUGUAUAUAGAUAACUAAUCUAGAAAUGGCUAUUAUAAAUGCUGAAGCUGUGAUAGUCUUGAGGGAAACUGGGAUUAGAUACCCCAUUAUUCUUGAUUGUAAAUAUAAUUAAAUUUACCAGAGUACUAUGAAUAGUUAAAAAUUUAAAACUCAAAGGGCUUGGCGGUGUUUUAGACCAAUCAGGGGAACCUGUCUCGUAAUCGACAAUCCGCGUUAUAUCUAACCUCAUUUUGUAAACAGUUUGUAUACCGUCAUCCUCAGGUAACUUUUAAAAAUAUCGAASUUAACAGUAGAAAUUUUUGUAUCAUUAGGACGUCAGAUCAAAGUGCAGCCUAUAGYGAGGAGAGGAUGGGUUACAAGUUAUAAAAUUUAUAAUUACGGAAAUUUAAAUGAAAUUAUAUUUAAGAAGGAGGACUUGAAAGUACACUAAAGUAUAUAAUGAGUUUGAAUAAAGCUCUG
rnacentral:rRNA from 1 species